CGCUGGCGGCGUGCCUAAUACAUGCAAGUCGAGCGAAUCAUCGGGAGCUUGCUCCCGGUGAUUAGCGGCGGACGGGUGAGUAACACGUGGGCAACCUGCCUGUAAGACUGGGAUAACUUCGGGAAACCGGAGCUAAUACCGGAUCAAUCUUUUCCUCGCAUGAGGAAAAGCUAAAAGACGGUUUCGGCUGUCACUUACAGAUGGGCCCGCGGCGCAUUAGCUAGUUGGUGAGGUAACGGCUCACCAAGGCGACGAUGCGUAGCCGACCUGAGAGGGUGAUCGGCCACACUGGGACUGAGACACGGCCCAGACUCCUACGGGAGGCAGCAGUAGGGAAUCUUCCGCAAUGGACGAAAGUCUGACGGAGCAACGCCGCGUGAGUGAUGAAGGCCUUCGGGUCGUAAAACUCUGUUGUUAGGGAAGAACAAGUAUCGGAGUAACUGCCGGUACCUUGACGGUACCUAACCAGAAAGCCACGGCUAACUACGUGCCAGCAGCCGCGGUAAUACGUAGGUGGCAAGCGUUGUCCGGAAUUAUUGGCGUAAAGCGCGCGCAGGCGGUCCUUUAAGUCUGAUGUGAAAGCCCACGGCUUAACCGUGGAGGGUCAUUGGAAACUGGGGGACUUGAGUGCAGAAGAGGAAAGCGAUUC
rnacentral:rRNA from 1 species